AUACUUACUUGACAGGGGAGAAACUGUCAUCAAGAAUAUGGUUUUCCCAGGGGGAGGCUCCCCAAUUGGACUCUGGAUGCGCUGACCCCUGCAAUUUCCCAAAAGAUGGGAAACUCUGCUGUAUAAUUUGUGAUUGUGGGCAAUUGCAUUCACAGUCUCCCU